rnacentral:lncRNA from 1 species
GUUCAUCAAUAUGGGUAAGUAUUUAAUAUAAGAAUAAUUAUUUGCUUUCAGGAAUUUAUUCGAUUUGGCUGGGACCUUGUUGAAGGGAGGUUAAUACUGCUACUGUAGUUAAGGUGGAUAGGUGAUGUGUGUAAUAUUAGAAAAGUAGCAUCACUUUAAAGUGUAAUAUCACAUUAACGUCCCCCACCGCGAUCCAAAUAUCACUUAAUAUUACAACAUCAUUUAAUAUCACUCCACACUAAUUAAUGGAAGAGGGAACACUCCACCACUCGUGACCAGGAAUACCCUGAUGAACGGGCAGAUAAAAAAUUGGAAUGUGUCGAAGAAGCCUUCUAUCUCGGAUCAUAAUAUAAUCAGAUUCGGCAUUGAGGGAAUAAUAAGGAAUCUCAGGAUAACGGAUUGGGACUACUAUGCAAUGCACUUGAGCAACAACAUGGCUCUUCUACAAAGGGGAGGUGAUAGCAGGAGUGAACUGGAAUUUGAAACAGUGGUGGAAGACCUGAAGAAGGUCGUCAUUGAUGCAUAUGUCCGGCUGACAGUUAAAUCAUCAAGGGUACCCUGGAAGAACAGGAACCUAGCCAGAAUUAGAACAGAGGACCGAAAACUCUUCGACCUGUAAAACAAACCGGAGAGUGGCUGAAUUUCAAAAAUAGAUUGACUGCGUAAAGCAACGCGAUCGGGGAAGCAAAAGGAAACAGCUUCAGGGAAUUAUUAAGGGAUAGAACAAACCACAGAAGCAACCAGGCUAUACAAAGUAAUAGAAAAAGACAAUAUCAUCCGUCUGUCUAAAGUAGGAAGUUGGGAUAUUUACGGAGAAUGAGGAGGAUAGAGUACAUCCGCUUUACAGAACUCAUUUCCCGGAGUCCUACCCUACAACGAAACGCGACAACAUUCUGCAUGACAUCCCAACAACGAAUAACUGGUGGGCAGUGGGAAUCUUUAAACCACUGAAAUCACCCGGAGUAGUUGGCAUCCUCCCAGCCCUACUCCAAAGAAAUCAUCUUAGAGUCUCUUCUAAGAAUCAGCAUAGCCUUAGGAUAUAUACUAAGGGCAAGGAGGCAAAAUCUCUCUACCUAACAUAGUUCCUACUCAAAACAACUAUAUUAGAACUAACGUUCUAGUACGCAUUCCGCUACAUCAAUGUCAACACACAACGGUGAACCGGAACUACAAGGUAUCAACUGACGGAUGUAUUACGGGAUGCCAUUGAAACAAAAGAAAUAGCACUGCGUGCGUUUUUGGAUAUCGAAAGAGCGUUAGAUAACACAUCGAACACAGAGAUAGAAGAUGCUCUGAUCCGCAAUGAAGGGAGAAACACCCUAGCCUUGUGGACGGACAGAAUGUUAGAGAGUAGGCAAAUAGGAGAACUGACAGGUACAAAUUCUAUUGUCAUGAAUACUGCUCAAGGUUGUCCACAAGCUGAGGUACUAUUACCGCUUAUGUGGAUUAUCGUAGCAAAUGAACUCUUAGGAGAGCUAACAAAUAUGGGAAUACAAGUCCAGGGUUAUGCUGACGACAUUGUUUUAAUCUGUAAGAGCAGAUAUGAGUUUACCUUAUGUUAUGUGAUAUGUCCAAACUGGACUAAGAGUUACUAGUACCUAGUGUAGGAAAGCGGGGUUGGGCAUCGAUCCAGCCAUAGUACCAUUCACUAGGAAGCGCAAGCUUGAUCAACUGAGAGUCAUUAGGUUACGUGGUAUGGUAGUGAAACGUGAAUCGAAGGUUAACUAUUUGUGAAUUAAUCAAAAAUUACCCUGGAAACCUAUGUCGAAAAGCUACGAGCGCUCUGAUGCUUUGCAAGUCCACAGCAGAGAAAAAAUGGGGAUGCACCCCGAAAAUGCUGCACUGGAUAUAAACUGCAGUUCGGGCAGAAAGAACUAAAUUCAGUACAACAGGCAGGGAGUUACACAAACUUCAAAAACUGACUUACGUACGUAUUAGUGGAGUAAUGAGGUCAUGCCUAACGGCAUCCCUGGAGGUCUUUUUGGGAUUAACUCCGCUUCGUGUGCACAUAAAAAUGCAGGCGAGAAGCGCCAUCUUGAGAAUGUUCGGGAGCAUCAGUGAGGCGGGAAGCUGUCUAAAUCGAAGGAAAACUGAUACUAUUUUAAGGCGGCAUCCUGAAUUGCUGUGUUCAGAUAAUUGAAAGAUUAGAGCACAAGACUCUUGUAUGGAAGGUCGUGGUUCAAAUCUCACUGGUGACAGUGGGGUUUGUAUCGUGAUUUGACGUCGGAUACCAGUCGCCUCAGCUAUGAAUGAGUACCUGAGCCCAAUCAGGGUAAUUAUCUUCUAUAUCCUAUAGGGUACUAUAAUCCUGUAGUAUACCGUUACGGUCUUGAAUGAAGUGCUUUAACACACUUCAAUACCCUGAGCCAAUUGGAAUGUUGGGUCAACGAUUAUUAUUAUUAUUCCGAAUUACUGAUAACAAGGGAUAACUUGGCAAGGAGGUUUUAUUUCCAUAAGGAUUUUGGAGUUGGAGUGAAAGGGCAAAUUGGAAGAGUCUGGCAGUGAAAUACGCAUUAAAUCAGCAACUGAUUACCUGGUAUACUGACGGAUCCAUUGCAGCAGAGGCUGCAGGCCCCGGGUCAUUGGUUCAAGAAAAAUGUACUUUGAACCAAUGAGCAAGCACGCUAGUAUAUUCCAGGCGGAAAUAUAUUCCACAGACAGAUGUGCCCCCCUCAAACUCCAAAGGAAUUACAGGGGGCAGAACACUACUACUCUGACCGACAACCACGUGGCGGUCAAAGCACUUAGGCCAAACCAGAUGAACUCCAAACGCUGUAGGUAUUCCUUAAGAGACUUAACACGCUCGGUUUGCACAAUAAGACCUAGAUAACCUAGGUUCUAGACAGUGUUGUAUUGGAACGUAAUGAGGCAGUGAAGAAACUGACCAGGAAAUUAUCACGGACGCCUCUACAUGGACCAGAACUUUUCAGUGGAAUCAGACGCGGGUUCUUGGAUAUGGCAUUAAAAAAUGAAGAGGAACGGCUGGGGGAAUUUUGCUAUCAGGAAUGGAGAAUCUAGGUUUACUCAUGGCGGGGGAUAGGAAUCCAAGCGCUCAAACGACUGUUCAAACCGUACCAAGAAGAAUAUCUGGAUUAAAGUGGGAAUACUCACUGGCCACUGUCGACUAAAGUAGCACUUGGGAAAACUAGGUAUAUCUAUGAACUCUGCCUGUAGAUUCUGUCCAGAGUGCUCCAUACACGUUUUGGGAUAGUGUUCGGCACUUGUGCAAAGUAGGUGGAGGCACCUGGGAGAAUACGCAACACCUGUUGGAAUACUUGGAAGUAAGAAAUAUAUUAAAUUUUCUGUCGAUUAUAAGGUUGCUUGUUCUUAUAGAACGAAGUGCAACUUGGAUUAACGGAAUAAUAAAUAUCACUCUAUCACCACCUGGUAGAGAAUUUAUAAUUAUAUAGCUAUCGUGGCAAGUAAUAUUUAUAAUAUCGGUGCCAAUGUGAUAUUGUAUCAUAAGACAUCAUCAUCGAAUAAUAUUUUAACACGUUUGAUGCAAAUGUAGGCUGCUGAUCAUCUAUAAGAAUCAUGAUUGCCUGUUCUCGCAUGUAGAAAUAUCUUAUCCUUUUCAUUUGCACGAAAGAAAGUUCACUCUUCUUUCUAGGUAAUGAACUAAAUUGUACAUUUUGUGCUACGAAUGUGAUAAAAACAGGAAAUAAUCACUGUAGGAAUAAGUAAUAUUUGGUAAUAACGUCCGCCGAGAGUCAGUAUGUAACAUAACAUCAUAUGUAUGGUUAGGAUAAUGAAACGUGAUGUUUGUGAUAUUACUUCGUAAUAUAAUGCUUAUGUUGUUUGAUCUCCUUCAUUAUUGGAAUCAUCUAGGUCAUCUUUAAAUUUUGGAUUUCAUUCGUGCACAACAUUGUUGUUCCUAAAGUUUUUUACUCGCUCAGCUUAUUCAGAUGAAUCUCUACUGUGUUAUACCCCCGCAAAAUAGUGUUUUGUAAGUUGCAUUUGGCGCUUACUCGCCAUGUUUAUAUGAUUGCUUCGCAAUAGAGACUGGUAUUUUGAAAUUCUUAGUGGUGUACUGAGCUCAAUGCCUCUUGUCUGGCGUUUAUGCUAUGAAUCAGAAGUUGAAAAAUAAAAAAAUAUAUCUUUUAA